rnacentral:misc_RNA from 1 species
ACACCCUCAAGCUCUGCUUGGUGUUGGGCGUCUGUCCCGCCUCCGCGCGUGGACUCGCCCCAAAUUCAUUGGCAGCGGUCUUUGCCUCCUCUCGCGCAGCACAUUGCGCUUCAGAGGGGCGUGGGCCGCGUCCACGAAGUAACAUUACCGU